ensembl:lncRNA
GUCAGUGGGCACGGUGGGGGUGGGCUGGGGUUGGAUGACCAGUGAGGGUGACGGAGGGUGACUUGUGCUGUCCCCAGGUGCUCUGUUCUGCACCUCCUGAUUCACACCACUGCCUCUGCAUAAUGCACAUAAAAACCCACCAGCAACAACGCGCCAACCCGUCAGAAACUGGGCUUGUCAGCACCAGUGCAAGGAUGGAUUGUUUCCUUCAUUCCACUCUCUGCAGGAGCUCCGUGCCUGCUUUCUCUCUGGUGGCCACAGCACUUUGCCACACUGCUCCGUGCUGGGCAGACAGCAGUCACAUCAAUUACAGCAUCGUUCCUGAGCCCCGAAACUCAGCUGCUCCUCGACUGUGCCCGGGGCAUCGUCAUUCCUAGAGGAACGUGUUGGCUGUCGCAUGGACGGGGCAGACAGUGCUGCGAUGUAAUGCUAUCCCAGUGCUCAUGUAACUGGGCUUCUGCCUGGCGUCCUGGAGACAGGAGAGGAAGGAGGGCAGCCCUGAUGGGUAUCUGGCUUGUAUCAUUCAUAGAGACACCUUGGCCAUGAGGUGGGCAGAGCACUGUCACACACACAGUCUUGGAACAGGUCCUGUAGAAAACACAUGGAGAUGCCCUCAUCCACGGGCAUGGAUGAGCAAACGCUGAGGUCAGAACUGUCCCCGUUCUCUGGGUGGUGGCCCUGGGAUGUGUGGCAAAACCACGGUGCAGAGCGCUCAUGGUGCAACCGUGGUGCAUGCUUACAAUCACAUCGUUGGUGUUCCAGGGACGGCUGCAGCCCCUCCAUCUACAGGAGCAGCAUUUCUGCCCAUGCCUUCUGCCCAUGCUGCUUUGCCCCCUGGCCUUUGGAUUCCAGGUGCCCACACAGCACAGCUUUGGAGGGCUCAGGAUGCUGUUUCUCCGUGGAUUCAUCACCCCGAAGCCCCUUCUGAUGGAUCUGCUGGAGGAAAUUGCAGGUGUUCCUUCACAAUCAGCC